AUUCGGUUCGUAACCUCUUUGGCAGGGAAGAAAAGUUGUAGUUAAUAGCUGCAAAACUGACGGUACCUGCAGAAUAAGCCACGGCUAACUCCGUGC
rnacentral:rRNA from 1 species